UUUUAGAUUGUUUUUAAGUCUUACAUCACCUAAAAGGCUAAAACCCUUUUCACACAGCCACCAUCGACUGCAUCGACACUAUUCCUCCGGCGAAGGCAAUGCGACCUCUGGCGUAGGUUUCCCCUCCGCAUCUUCCUCUAUUCUCUGUUCUUGCUAGCUUGAGAAUUUUGGAGUUUGAACAUAAGAAGGAAGUGAAAAUGAAGGGGGAAAGUGAAUAUCAGUCAAAAGAAGAUAAUAUUUGGGAACACCCUGGGAAGAGGAUAUUUUAGCAGCUUCUCUCAAAGAGUUUAAUCUUACAACUGAAGGUAAAUCAAAUGAAUAAUGGGAAGACGAAAGAAGUAAAGAUAAUAUUUGGCUGGCCGGUGCUACACUCUUACAUGUUCUAGGAAUCCACUACAAAAAAUUUGGUAAAUUGUGACGGUUUAUUUAUGGGGUCAUAAAAAACUUCACUAUACGUUUGUUUUAUGACGUUUGAGCCAACCCCCACAAAAUAGUUCUUAUUGUGGCGGUUUAAGUGUGGGAGUCGUAAAAGACCCCUAUUGUAUAUUCAAUUCGUGGCGUUUGUUCCCACCUCCUUAAAAUUUUUCUUAUUAUGGCGGUUUCUUUGUGAAGGUUUUUGAUAACCUCCACAAAUAUAUCAAUUCUAGGUAUUUGAGAAAUUGUUGUAAUUCGAUGCAAGUUAACGAUUAUUAACUCGUUAAAAUUUUAUUUA